GCCCUUAGUUUGAUCCUGGCUCAGAUUGAACGCUGGCGGCAUGCCUAACACAUGCAAGUCGAACGGCAGCAUGGUUUGUAGCAAUACAGACUGAUGGCGAGUGGCGGACGGGUGAGUAAUCCGUAGGGAUUUGCCUUAAAGAGGGGGACAACCCGGGGAAACUCGGGCUAAUACCGCAUACAACUCUGAGGAGGAAAGGUUUGGUGAAAGCCAGACGCUUUAAGAUGAACCUACGGCCGAUUAGCUAGUUGGUGGAGUAAAGGUUUACCAAGGCGACGAUCGGUAGCUGUUCUGAGAGGAAGAUCAGCCACACUGGGACUGAGACUCGGCCCAUACUCCUACGGGAGGCAGCAGUGGGGAAUUUUGGACAAUGGGGGCAACCCUGAUCCAGCGAUGCCGCGUGUGUGAAGAAGGCCUUCGGGUUGU
rnacentral:rRNA from 1 species